AAUCAAUUUGAGUACUUGCAGUCGAUCAUGACACCUACGAUUUCUACACUAUUCACCACAUUUGCAAUCAAUUACACUAUCAAGUUACAUCAUGUUCUACCAUUUCUCAAGCAAAGCAGCUCUUGUCGACAUCACAUUUCGACAU